AUUGAACGCUGGGGGAAUGCUUUACACAUGCAAGUCGAACGGCAGCACGGACUUCGGUCUGGUGGCGAGUGGCGAACGGGUGAGUAAUGUAUCGGAACGUGCCCAGUCGUGGGGGAUAACGUAGAGAAAAUUACGCUAAUACCGCAUACGAUCUAUGGAUGAAAGCGGGGGAUCGCAAGACCUCGCGCGAUUGGAGCGGCCGAUAUCAGAUUAGGUAGUUGGUGGGGUAAAGGCCCACCAAGCCAACGAUCUGUAGCUGGUCUGAGAGGACGACCAGCCACACUGGAACUGAGACACGGUCCAGACUCCUACGGGAGGCAGCAGUGGGGAAUUUUGGACAAUGGGCGAAAGCCUGAUCCAGCCAUUCCGCGUGCAGGAUGAAGGCCCUCGGGUUGUAAACUGCUUUUGUACAGAACGAAAAGGUUUCUACUAAUACUAGGAGCUCAUGACGGUACUGUAAGAAUAAGCACCGGCUAACUACGUGCCAGCCGCCGCAGUAA
rnacentral:rRNA from 1 species